ACCGGGUCAGCUCCCUAGAUAUUCUGGUGCAAUAGAUGCCGUUAAACAAACAAUAGCAGCAGAGGGUCCACGGGGUCUAUACAAAGGCAUGGGUGCCCCUCUUGCCACUGUGGCAGCUCUAAAUGUUGUUCUGUAUACAGUUAGAGGGCAAAUGGAAGCACUUUUGAGGUCUGAGCCCGGUGCACCCUUAACCGUGAACCAGCAGGUGGUUGCUGGAGCCGGUGCUGGAGUUGCUGUUGCCAUUUUGGCCACCCCAACUGAGUUAGUCAAGUGCAGGACAGUCCAUUUUUUUCAAUAAUUAGUUUAAGAUUUAUUAGUACGAAAGUGGUCAACAUUUAUUAGUACCAGUUGAGAAUAAUGAUGCCCAAAAUGUAAUUCAACAACCCGAUCCAAACGAUUCGUUCACAUUCAAGACUUCAGGUACAAAGGGGAGUGAGCAGUACAUGGAA